AUGAAAAGGGAAAAAUAUAAAAAGAAACAAGAAAAAGAAAUCACCCUUGAAACCAUAGAGCAUAGAAAAAUUAGAAAAGAAAAGCAAAGAAAAUGCUCAUGGUUGUGUGGAUUUGAAAAGAAAAAGAGAAAGUUAGGGAUCAAAGAAAAGGAAAGUGUGUAGAGUGAAUCUUUAGGAAUGCUCCCUUAGGAUAAGCAAUUUGGUUGAAUUCUCUUAAUCAUAUCCUUUCUGGUAACCUAAGCCACAUUACAACCCUUGAAAGACCUCUUGAUUCUCAUUUUUCACAUAAUUUGGUACUUGCUGUGAU
rnacentral:lncRNA from 1 species